GGAGAUCAUGGAUACGUGAGCAGAAGAGACACUGAACGGGCUUAGGAGCAAUUAGCAUCUCUCUUUGAGAGCAGCAGUUGUGUCAGGGAUAAAACUCGGGUCUGCAGAAGAGGCACCUCCGGAGAAAGAAAGAAUGGAAUCCUAGGAAGCAGAGAAAACCACAUAAGCAGGCACCGCGGUUUGCCCUGGGCUGCUUGGGAAACAGAAACCAGGAGGACCACUUGAGUCUAGGGGUUUGAGACUUAAACAAUAUGAGACAUCCCACCACCACUACCACCACCACCUCAAAGCUGGAGUGAGGGCACCAAGGAAAAACUCCCGGUGCAGCUGUCUAGGGAAGCCAGAAGCUCAUGACAGUCCUCGUGAGGAUGGACUUCGGAGGAGCUGGAGCCUGGGCAGGCAUUGGGGGCCCUGUGUAGCUUCUGGGAGGCUUACAUAAACACUGGCUGGGAUGAGGAGGGAGGGGAAGGUACAGUGGGUUGCCCAGAAAAAGAAGAAAAAAAAAGCAACCCCCGCCCGCCAGCUCAGCCUGUGUGGAAAGAAGGAA